rnacentral:rRNA from 1 species
AACGAACGCUGGCGGCAGGCUUAACACAUGCAAGUCGAACACAUCCUUCGGGGUGAGUGGCAGACGGGUGAGUAACGCGUGGGAACGUGCCCUUCAGUUCGGGAUAACCCAGGGAAACUUGGGCUAAUACCGGAUACGUGCGAGAGCAGAAAGAUUUAUCGCUGAAGGAUCGGCCCGCGUCUGAUUAGCUAGUUGGUGGGGUAAUGGCUCACCAAGGCGACGAUCAGUAGCUGGUCUGAGAGGAUGAUCAGCCACACUGGGACUGAGACACGGCCCAGACUCCUACGGGAGGCAGCAGUGGGGAAUAUUGGACAAUGGGCGCAAGCCUGAUCCAGCCAUGCCGCGUGAGUGAUGACGGCCUUAGGGUUGUAAAGCUCUUUCGGCGGGGACGAUAAUGACGGUACCCGCAGAAGAAGCCCCGGCUAACUUCGUGCCAGCAGCCGCCGUAAGAC